AUUGAACGCUGGCGGCAUGCUUUACACAUGCAAGUCGAACGGCAGCGCGGGCUUCGGCCUGGCGGCGAGUGGCGAACGGGUGAGUAAUACAUCGGAACGGGCACCGUAGUGGGGGAUAGCUCGGCGAAAGCCGGAUUAAUACCGCAUACGAACUGAGGGGGAAAGCGGGGGAUCUUCGGACCUCGCGCUCUUGGAGCGGCCGAUGGCAGAUUAGCUAGUUGGUGGGGUAAAGGCCUACCAAGGCGACGAUCUGUAGCUGGUCUGAGAGGAUGACCAGCCACACUGGGACUGAGACACGGCCCAGACUCCUACGGGAGGCAGCAGUGGGGAAUUUUGGACAAUGGGCGAAAGCCUGAUGCAGCAAUGCCGCGUGUGUGAUGAAGGCCUUCGGGUUGUAAAGUACUUUUGGCGGGAACGAAAAGGACUGUGCCAAUACCACGGUUCGAUGACGGUACCCGCAGAAUAAGCACCGGCUAACUACGUG
rnacentral:rRNA from 1 species